rnacentral:rRNA from 1 species
UGCCUUAGUAGCGGCGAGUGAAGCGGCAAAAGCUCAAAUUUGAAAUCUGGUACUUUCAGUAUCCGAGUUGUAAUUGGUAGAAGCAACUUUGGUGAUGGUCUUUGCAUAAGUUCCUUGGAAUAGGACGUCAUAGAGGGUGAGAAUCCCGUUUAUGGUGAAGAACCCACACUAUGUAAAGUGCUUUCGAAGAGUCGAGUUGUUUGGGAAUGCAGCUCAAAGUGGGUGGUAAAUUCCAUCUAAAGCUAAAUAUUGGCGAGAGACCGAUAGCGAACAAGUACUGUGAAGGAAAGAUGAAAAGAACUUUGAAAAGAGAGUGAAAAAGUACGUGAAAUUGUUGAAAGGGAAGGGAUCUAAAUCAGACAUGGUAUUUUGUGAUCAACAGUCUUUCGGGACUGUGCACUCGCAUUUUACUAGGCCAGCAUCGGUUAGAAGGGGGUAAAAAAGAUUUUGGAAUGUGGCUCCUCGGAGUGUUAUAGCCAAGGUUAAUUGCCCCAUUUCUGACCGAGGACCGCGUCUUUUGACUAGGAUGCUGGCGUAAUGGUUUUGAUCCACCCGUCUUGAAACACGGACCA